rfam:Myotis davidii contig165410, whole genome shotgun sequence.
AGAGGCCCUAUGUGGCUAAGGUGGAAAGCUUGCCUCGUCACCAUGGCGACGAAGCAAGCAUUCUGCCAGGCCACUCACACUGCCCAC